AUGUACCCCCCGUACACCCCGUACACCCCGGUUCCUCCGCGCCGUCCGCACCCACCUGACGACUGCGCGCUACGUUUUGUAGCC
rnacentral:sRNA from 1 species